CCUGGGACACGUCCUCAAACCCAAGGAGUCACGUAGGAUACAUUCUGCCUCCAGCAUGCCAACAUGAUCUACAGAAGCAAGAUGGUUUGGAAACAAUUCAAAAUUUCUUAUUUAACUUCAGAAGCUCUGGAGUUCUCAGACUGCUUCGAAGCCUGGUUUAUAAAUACCAGCUUUUGGUGAUGCAGCUUCUUUAUUAAAGACCUUACAAAAGAUGCUAACCUACACAGCGAUUUCUACCAGUAGAAGAAAAGGAAGCAUAAAUUAAUCACAUACCAAGCGAAAAACUCAAUGGUGCUUUAAAAGGAGUGCAGCUGAAUUAACUCGGGACAGUGAAGCCAACUCUAUUUUGAAAAAUUAAGAGGAGAGAGACACAGGAGAAAUGGUUAGGAAACUUUGGUGCCUGCUGCCUGCUUUUGAUAAUCUUGAUUACUUUUGGAGUAGUUGUCCUUCGUGUACUUUUCCAUCUUCGAACCCUGCCAGGAGGACAUGGGAUGGUGAUGAAGCCUGAGGCUCGGGAG